UACAGAGGUCUCAAGCGUUGUUCGGAUUCAUUGGGCGUAAAGGGCGCGUAGGCUGCGGGGCAAGUCGGGUGUGAAAUCUCAGAGCUCAACUCUGAAACUGCACUCGAUACUGCUUUGCUUGAGGACUGGAGAGGAGAUUGGAAUUCACGGUGUAGCAGUGAAAUGCGUAGAUAUCGUGAGGAAGACCAGUUGGCGAAGGCGGAUCUCUGGGACAGUUCCUGACGCUGAGGCGACGAAGGCCAGGGGAGCAAACGGG
rnacentral:rRNA from 1 species